AGCCAAUUAUCCUACGGUGUAUCCAGCCAUUGAAUUUUCCGAGCUUCAGAGUCUCAAUAGUGCAUAUCAAACUUCAAAUAGAAAUCAUAUUUGUUCAACUUUAAACGAGUAUGGUUUUACGGGUUUUAGUGAAGUUCUAUUUGUUGACGGGAAUAAUCCAUGUGAAAGAAAAAACAGGGAGGUUGUGCGGGUGGAAAUGGAUAAUACAGAUACACUGCUAACAGCAACUAAAAAAUCAUUACUAAAAAAUAGUCAAUACACCGGAGUAGAGGAUACCUCCGCACUGGUUUUAAAGGAGAUGGUCCCGUUAGCAGGUUGUACAGAGUGUGGUGGGCCCAAUGAAAACAGUGUAAACAUUGAGUGGAAACUGACUUUUGAAGAGCAGUUGCUCGACA
rnacentral:misc_RNA from 1 species